UUCUGAGUAUUUUUCUUUGAAGCGAAGUAAAAGGUCUCGGAUCCCAUCAGAACUCCGCAGGUAAGUGUGCUUGGGCGAGAGUAGUACUAGUAUUGGUGACCUCCUGGGAAGUCCUCGUGGCUCGUUCU
rnacentral:rRNA from 1 species